rnacentral:piRNA from 1 species
GGGAACAUUACUUCACAGAGCACUACACAGU